rnacentral:tRNA from 1 species
CCGACCUUGGCUCAGUUGGUAGAGCAGAGGACUGUAGAUCCUUAGGUCGCUGGUUCGAAUCCGGCAGCUCGGA